UGUCCAUCAUAUAGGGUUACAGUUAUAAAAUUAAGCUUAGCAUUCUGGUAUUGCAUCUUACAUUCCUCAACUUUUCCUUCCACAAGUAUGUUGUUUAUUUCUGAGUCACAAAAAUAAAUUGAAGAAAGCUUUAUGCACUCUAUAAAUAUUUUAUUACCAAGGCUAAGUAUUUUACCAUUAGCACUAAUGAACCCAAAACAAUACAUAUGUGAUUCCAUUUUUCCUGUAUUCUUGUAAUGUUUAAAAUUCUAGGCAGAGGUGUAACACAAAAUUAUCACAUCAAUCACAUCAGGACAACUACCAGAGGAAAAUACAAAUUCCAACUACUUUGCCUGCAAGUCACCUUGGACAGUGAGCAAGAUGUGAGCAUUUAUUCUAGCAGUUAAGAUGAACGCAUUGCAUAUUGCAGUAUCGGGCUUUAAGUACUGGCUCCAAGUCCUGACUCCAGCUGCCUGGUAAUGACGACUCUGACAUGUGGCCACAGUGGCUCAAGUAACUGGCCUCCUGUCACAUACGUGACUGGAUAGUGUUCCCUCCAGCUUCUAACUUUGACCCCACCCAGCCCUGCUGACUAUCGCAGUCAUCUGUUGACAGAACCAGGAGAAAGGAACUCUGUUUUCUCCCAACCCUCUCCCUCCCAAAUAAGUUAAGUCUUUAAAAAAACCUUCUUCAAAUAGUAUUUUUACAAUUUGGUUAACAAGUAAAAAGUAAACUAAGCAUCAUAUGACUAUUUCAGGCUUAUAAGUACAAUGAAUGGUAAUUUUUUGGUAAGGAUAAAAGUAAAAUCACAGACACAGGGAAUUUUCAUUUAAACAGGAAUUCUAACAAAAUCUACAAAUGAGACAUUAUUUUGCUUGUGUAACUUGCAAACAAUAACUUAGCACAAUAUAGUGAAUCUGUCCAUAGUUUUCAAAACAAUUUUUAGUUGUUAAAAUGAUUUGGCGAUUCAGUUAUUUUGGCAAUGAAUAAGAAAAUAAACAAUGAGACUACUGGCAGAGGCAGGGAUGUGAAUUCUACACACUUUGCAAUAAACUAAAGGAGGUGGCUGAAUUACCAAUCAAGAGUACUGGGAAGCAGCUUCCAAAUGGAGCUUGAUCUGUUUUCUCACACUUAAAUUGCCCAACGAAAAAACAAAAGUUGUUUUCGUUUCAUAGUCUAACAAGCCAAUUUCCAUAUAAUUUAAUAUUAGUAAAAA